CACGUAGGGGGCGAGCGUUGUCCGGAUUUAUUGGGCGUAAAGAGCUCGUAGGCGGCUCGGUAAGUCGGGUGUGAAAUUUCGAGGCUCAACCUCGAAACGCCACCCGAUACUGCCGUGGCUAGAGUCCGGUAGGGGAGCGUGGAAUUCCUGGUGUAGCGGUGAAAUGCGCAGAUAUCAGGAGGAACACCAGCGGCGAAGGCGGCGCUCUGGGCCGGUACUGACGCUGAGGAGCGAAAGCGUGGGGAUCAAACAGG
rnacentral:rRNA from 1 species